CGGGGCGUGGCGCAGUCAGGUAGCGCACUUGCAUGGGGGGCAAGUGGUCGGCCGUUCAAAUCGGCUCGCCCCGACCA
rnacentral:tRNA from 1 species